UACAGAGGGUGCGAGCGUUGUCCGGAAUCACUGGGCGUAAAGGGCGCGUAGGCGGCCUGAUAAGUAGGGGGUGAAAUCCUGUGGCUUAACUGCAGGGCUGCCUCCUAGACUGUUAGGCUCGAGCACGGUAGAGGCAGAUGGAAUUCCCGGUGUAGCGGUGGAAUGCGUAGAGAUCCGGAAGAACACCGGUGGCGAAGGCGGCCUGCUGGGCUAUGGCUGACACUGAGGCGCGACAGCGUGGGGAGCAAACAGG
rnacentral:rRNA from 1 species